rnacentral:lncRNA from 1 species
UUUCUCAACAGUACCUUGCUCUACCUUCGUUCCAAACUCUACUACAUUGGGAAGAGAUCUUAAGAAUGUAAGGCAGCAAACUCAUCAUACAUCCUGGAAUAGUUUCGAGAAGGCUGAAAAGAAAGAAAACAAACAGUCAAGCUCAUCGAUACUGCUAGCGCUGCUAAAAUGCUUACCUGAGAAGGAUCAACACAGCUAGACGGCGGCAUUUCUCCAAUGGAUCAGUAACAGAGCCUUGAUGACGGCAUCACUACCUAGCUCCUGAAUUUCCUCCUCAC